GGGUAGCCGGCCUGAGAGGGUGACCGGCCACACUGGGACUGAGACACGGCCCAGACUCCUACGGGAGGCAGCAGUGGGGAAUAUUGCACAAUGGGCGGAAGCCUGAUGCAGCAACGCCGCGUGAGGGAUGACGGCCUUCGGGUUGUAAACCUCUUUUAGCAGGGAAGAAGCGAAAGUGACGGUACCUGCAGAAAAAGCGCCGGCUAACUACGUGCCAGCAGCCGCGGUAAUACGUAGGGCGCAAGCGUUAUCCGGAAUUAUUGGGCGUAAAGAGCUCGUAGGCGGUUUGUCGCGUCUGCUGUGAAAUCCCGAGGCUCAACCUCGGGCCUGCAGUGGGUACGGGCAGACUAGAGUGCGGUAGGGGAGAUUGGAAUUCCUGGUGUAGCGGUGGAAUGCGCAGAUAUCAGGAGGAACACCGAUGGCGAAGGCAGAUCUCUGGGCCGUAACUGACGCUGAGGAGCGAAAGGGUGGGGAGCAAACAGGCUUAGAUACCCUGGUAGUCCACCCCGUAAACGUUGGGAACUAGUUGUGGGGACCAUUCCACGGUUUCCGUGACGCAGCUAACGCAUUAAGUUCCCCGCCUGG
rnacentral:rRNA from 1 species